rfam:Crassostrea gigas strain 05x7-T-G4-1.051#20 contig7744, whole genome shotgun sequence.
GAGCACAUGGCCAGUGGUCAUUGGCGUUAGGCCAGUAACCCAAAGGUUGCUGGUUAAAAUCAGCUGUGGUCA